rnacentral:rRNA from 1 species
GACGAACGCUGGCGGCGCGCCUAACACAUGCAAGUCGAACGAGCGAGAGAGAGCUUGCUUUCUCAAGCGAGUGGCGAACGGGUGAGUAACGCGUGAGGAACCUGCCUCAAAGAGGGGGACAACAGUUGGAAACGACUGCUAAUACCGCAUAAGCCCACAGGUCGGCAUCGACCAGAGGGAAAGGGAGCAAUCCGCUUUGAGAUGGCCUCGCGUCCGAUUAGCUAGUUGGUGAGGUAACGGCCCACCAAGGCAACGAUCGGUAGCCGGACUGAGAGGUUGAACGGCCACAUUGGGACUGAGACACGGCCCAGACUCCUACGGGAGGCAGCAGUGGGGAAUAUUGCACAAUGGGGGAAACCCUGAUGCAGCGACGCCGCGUGGAGGAAGAAGGUCUUCGGAUUGUAAACUCCUGUUGUUGAGGAAGAUAAUGACGGUACUCAACAAGGAAGUGACGGCUAACUACGUG